AACGAACGCUGGCGGCAUGCCUAACACAUGCAAGUCGAACGAGACCUUCGGGUCUAGUGGCGCACGGGUGCGUAACGCGUGGGAAUCUACCCUCAGGUUCGGAAUAACUCAGAGAAAUUUGAGCUAAUACCGGAUGAUGACUUAAGUCCAAAGAUUUAUCGCCUGAGGAUGAGCCCGCUUAGGAUUAGGUAGUUGGUGAGGUAAAGGCUCACCAAGCCGACGAUCCUUAGCUGGUCUGAGAGGAUGAUCAGCCACACUGGGACUGAGACACGGCCCAGACUCCUACGGGAGGCAGCAGUGGGGAAUAUUGGACAAUGGGCGAAAGCCUGAUCCAGCAAUGCCGCGUGAGUGAUGAAGGCCUUAGGGUUGUAAAGCUCUUUUACCCGGGAUGAUAAUGACAGUACCGGGAGAAUAAGCUCCGGCUAACUCCGUG
rnacentral:rRNA from 1 species